rnacentral:rRNA from 1 species
CCAGUCAGGGCGGGGCUACCCGCUGAAUUUAAGCAUAUCAAUAA